ACUCAGGAUCACGUGUGGAGGUGU
rnacentral:siRNA from 1 species